UCAGUCACACAGUGACGACGUGAUUGUAAUAAAGAUAGAACAUUCUGCUAUAUACAUUCUAUUACUACGUAUCAGUUAAAAACAAUAAGAGAUUACGAAAAUGGAGACGUCACUUGUACUCCCGAUCGUUGAUAUUUCUUCGCCCGAUAAAAUCACCACCGCACAGUUGAUUCGCCGGGCAUGUGUGGAACAUGGAUUCUUCUAUGUUAAAGAUCAUGCCAUCCCGGAAGAGUUGAUUGAAGAGGUUUUCAGGGAGAGCAAAAGAUUCUUCAACCUCCCACUAGAGGAUAAGACGUCAAAAUAGAUAUUAUCCAAUGUAUCCAACCUGUUGGAACUAGAAGAAGUACCAAACUGUAUAUUUGUAACACGCAAAAUAGAAACAAAUCAUAUGAUCA